rnacentral:rRNA from 1 species
AUACGUAGGGGGCGAGCGUUGUCCGGAAUGAUUGGGCGUAAAGGGCGCGUAGGCGGCGCGGUAAGUCUGGAGUGAAAGUCCUGCUUUCAAGGUGGGAAUUGCUUUGGAUACUGCCGCGCUUGAGUGCAGGAGAGGUUAUCGGAAUUCCCGGUGUAGCGGUGAAAUGCGUAGAGAUCGGGAGGAACACCAGUGGCGAAGGCGGCUAACUGGACUGCAACUGACGCUGAGGCGCGAAAGUGUGGGGAGCAAACAGGAUUAGAUACCCUGGUAGUCCACACUGUAAACGAUGAAUGCUAGGUGUAAGAGGUAUCGACCCCUUUUGUGCCGGAGUCAACACAAUAAGCAUUCCGCCUGGGGAGUACGGCCGCAAGGUUGAAACUCAAAUGAAUUGACGGGG